rnacentral:lncRNA from 1 species
GCCACCAUGAGGUGCUGUGGCAUGGCUGGCCUCAGGCUGGGAGCAGAUACGUGGCACUGCCACGAUCAUGCUUGGAGGCUCUGGUCAGGAGACUGGCCCUCUCUGAGCUUCCUGUACACUGAGGUGAUAUUUCUUUCUCAAUGGAUGCCAGAAGGAAAAUAUAUUCAUGCUUGGAAGGGGUCUCAUGCUGCAUUUGAAUGGGAAGUGAUUAAUUCAACUAUUAAUUAAGUUAUUCAUUUGGAUGCUUUCCAGUGUGCCAAAGAAGUUUCAGUAGUAACUACAACAACAAAAAAGAUUUUUUAAUCUGGAUUUUUUACGGAGCUUUAGGAGGAAUUUUUUUUGAAGAACCUCCAACAGCAUGAGCAAGCAGCUAACAUUUGCCUUUCCAAUCAUGUACUUUCGGAGAGUACAAGGAGACGAUGAGACAGGACAGGAAGGAGAGGACCUGGAGGAAAGCCUAGAACAAACACCGGAGGAGCAUGUACUAGAUAUUAUUCAGCAUCUUCUUAACAGAAGUCUUGACACCCAGAAUGACUCUGGCCAUACCUGUUACCAGAUAGUUCAGCUCAUGCCACCUUUGCUGUCUGGAAGACUAAUAGGUGUGAGGCUUUUGUUGGCACAGCG